CUGGCUUGAUGUGGAACCCAAUAGAUCACACACAUUAAAAAAUUAGCUGAGCACCUAUUUGUUAUAGUUAAUUGGAAUUAUGGAUCCAAUUGGGUAGUCGGUAAGCAUGCUAGCACAUGUGGCUAACUCUAGCUCCUUGGGAGAUUGGAUUUAAUCUCAAAUCUUACUAUUUGGCUAACCAAAUUCGGUGAGAACCUAGAUUAGGUCAAG
rnacentral:lncRNA from 1 species